AGCACGCACUGCAAUCCUUUCAUCAUUUAUGUAGCUAGCCAGUUUAAUGUUCCCUUCUACAGAUGAGUCCUUGUACCAAACACAGUAUUCUCAUUUUGGGCUUACGGAUGUUGUAAAGAGGACACCUUAUCUCCAUUGUCUACAAGGAAGAACACAGUAACGUUUGCUUUGUAGCAUCUGCAACCACUUUACAAUGCCUGUGUUUUCCACAAUACUCCUCUUGAGACACUUUUCUUCCUUAUAUGUUUCAGGGCUGGAUACAAAGCCCAGCAAAGACACUGACUUUGGAUCAAUCCCUUCCAGUUAAUAGGCCAAAUCUAGCAGUCUUUCCUCUGUCAAUAAUCUCACUGAAGCCAUUAGAUGUUUUACUCGACUAACAGCGGCAGGAUAUGUCUCUCUGCACUUCCACACACAACAACAGGGGCAAAUGAUGUUUGUGCCCACUGGACCAUUUUCAGAAGAAGGCAUAACUGAGGAUCCAGGGAGUUAUACCUGCCAGGAAGAGCAUGUCAGAAGUUGGCUUGGCAUAUGUAUUCACCUAUCUGACGCAUACAGGUGCCCAAUUUUGUGGCACAGAAAAUGUAUCUCCUAGUCAAAUCCAUGCUUGGACCAUAGAUUCCAUCUGCUAAUGUCUCUACUGAAUAGAGCCGGUAA